GGUGCAGCGUGAGUCUUUGAUGUGUACUCAAUUCAGGCAAACCUAGCAACUUGGAAAGUGUCAUAUACAUCAAGUUCAGAUCCGAACCAGAAUCCCACACUGACCAUGGGCUACAACUCCUGCCAUGCCAGAGAAGGCUUGAGAUAUCGAACCAUCCUAGCAUCCCUGGAAUAAAUCCCACUAGAUCAUGGU